rnacentral:rRNA from 1 species
AUUGAACGCUGGCGGCAUGCCUUACACAUGCAAGUCGAACGGCAGCACGGGAGCAAUCCUGGUGGCGAGUGGCGAACGGGUGAGUAAUGUAUCGGAACGUGCCCAGUCGUGGGGGAUAACGUAGCGAAAGCUACGCUAAUACCGCAUACGAUCUAUGGAUGAAAGCGGGGGAUCGCAAGACCUCGCGCGAUUGGAGCGGCCGAUAUCAGAUUAGGUAGUUGGUGGGGUAAAGGCUCACCAAGCCGACGAUCUGUAGCUGGUCUGAGAGGACGACUAGCCACACUGGGACUGAGACACGGCCCAGACUCCUACGGGAGGCAGCAGUGGGGAAUUUUGGACAAUGGGCGCAAGCCUGAUCCAGCAAUGCCGCGUGCAGGAUGAAGGCCUUCGGGUUGCAAACUGCUUUUGUACGGAACGAAACGGCGAGCUCUAAUACAGUUUGCUAAUGACGGUACCGUAAGAAUAAGCACCGGCUAACUACGUGCCAGCAGCCGCCGUAA